rnacentral:rRNA from 1 species
GAUGAACGCUGGCGGCGUGCCUAAUACAUGCAAGUCGAGCGAACAGACGAGGAGCUUGCUCCUCUGACGUUAGCGGCGGACGGGUGAGUAACACGUGGAUAACCUACCUAUAAGACUGGGAUAACUUCGGAAAACCGGAUCUAAUACCGUAUAAUAUAUUGAACCGCAUGAUUCAAUAGUGAAAGACAAUUUUGUUAUCACCUAUAGAUGGAUCCGCGCCGCAUUAGCUAGUUGGUAAGGUAACGCCUCACCAAGGCGACGAUGCGAAGCCGACCUGAGAGGGUGAUCGGCCACCCUGGAACUGGAACACGGUCCAGACUCCUCCGGGGGGCACCAGUAGGGAAUCUUCCCCACUGGGCGAAAGCCGGACGUAGCAACGCCGCGUGAGUGAUGAAGAUCUUCGGAUCCUAAAACUUGGUUAUAAGGAAGGAACAAAUGCGUAAGUAACUAUGCACGUUUUGACGGUACCUAAUCAGAAAGCCACGGCUAACUACGUG